rnacentral:rRNA from 1 species
AGUGAAUAGAUACCCUGGUAGUCCACGCCCUAAACGAUGUCAACUAACUGUUCGAAGUCACUAAAGAUUUUGAGUAGUGAAAGCUAACGCGAUAAGUUGACCGCCUGGGGAGUACGGCCGCAAGGUUGAAACUCAAAGAAAUUGACGGGGGCCCGCACAAGCGGUGGAGUAUGUGGUUUAAAUUCGAUGCAACGCGAAGAACCUUACCCGGUCUUGACAUGGUAGGAAUCUUGUAGAGAUACGAGAGUGCCUUCGGGAACCUACACACAGGUGCUGCACGGCUGUCGUCAGCUCGUGUCGUGAGAUGUUGGGUUAAGUCCCGCAACGAGCGCAACCCUUGCCCUUAGUUACCAUCAUUUAGUUGGGGACUCUAAGGGGACUGCCGGUGAUAAACCGGAGGAAGGUGGGGACGACGUCAAGUCAUCAUGGCCCUUAUGACCGGGGUCUACACACGUACUACAAUGGUCGGUACAGACGGUCGCAAGCUCGCGAGAGUAAGCUAAUCCGAGAAAACCCGAUCGUAGUCCGGAUCGCAGUCUGCAACUCGACUG